rnacentral:rRNA from 1 species
GAUGAACGCUGGCGGCGUGCUUAACACAUGCAAGUCGAACGGAAAGGCCCAAGCUUGCUUGGGUACUCGAGUGGCGAACGGGUGAGUAACACGUGGGUGAUCUGCCCCGCACUUCGGGAUAAGCCUGGGAAACUGGGUCUAAUACCGGAUAGGACAUAGGUUUGGAUGCCAUUGUGGAAAGUUUUUUCGGUGUGGGGUGAGCUCGCGGCCUAUCAGCUUGUUGGUGGGGUAAUGGCCUACCAAGGCGUCGACGGGUAGCCGGCCUGAGAGGGUGUACGGCCACCUUGGGACUGAGAGAAGGCACAGACACCGACGGGAGGCAGAAGGGGGGAAGAUUGCACGAUGGGCGCAAGCCGGAUGAAGCGACGCCGCGGGGGGGAUGACGGCCUUAGGGUUGUAAACUCCUUUCGCUAGGGACGAAGCGUUAUGUGACGGUACCUAGAGAAGAAGCACCGGCUAACUACGUG